rnacentral:rRNA from 1 species
GACGAACGCUGGCGGCGUGCUUAACACAUGCAAGUCGAACGAUGGUGCUGGAGCUUGCUCCAGUUGAUUAGUGGCGAACGGGUGAGUAGCACGUGAGCAAUCUGCCCUUGACUCUGGGAUAACUGCGGGAAACUGUAGCUAAUACCGGAUACUUUCACCGGAAGGCAUCUUCUGGUGAUGAAAGAAUUUCGGUCAGGGAUGAGCUCGCGGCCUAUCAGCUUGUUGGUGAGGUAACGGCUCACCAAGGCGACGACGGGUAACCGGCCUGAGAGGGUGACCGGUCACACUGGGACUGAGACACGGCCCAGACUCCUACGGGAGGCAGCAGUGGGGAAUAUUGCACAAUGGGCGCAAGCCUGAUGCAGCAACGCCGCGUGAGGGAUGAAGGCCUUCGGGUUGUAAACCUCUUUUAGCAGGGAAGAAGCGAAAGUGACGGUACCUGCAGAAAAAGCACCGGCUAACUACGUGCCAGCCGCCGCCGUAA